rnacentral:rRNA from 1 species
AACACGACCGUACCGCAAACCGACACUGGUGCGCGAGAUGAGUAUUCUAAGGCGCUUGAGAGAACUCAGGAGAAGGAACUCGGCAAAUUGACACCGUAACUUCGGAAGAAGGUGUGCCUUUAGUAGGUGAAGUCCCUCGCGGAUGGAGCCCAAUGAGGUUGCAAAGAAUCGGUGGCUGCGACUGUUUAUUAAAAACACAGCACUCUGCAAACACGAAAGUGGACGUAUAGGGUGUGACGCCUGCCCGGUGCUGGAAGAUUAAAUGAUGGGGUGCAAGCUCUUGAUUGAAGUCCCAGUAAACGGCGGCCAUAACAAUAACGGUCCUAAGGUAGCGAAAUUCCUUGUCGGGUAAGUUCCGACCUGCACGAAUGGCGUAACGAUGGCCACACUGUCUCCUCCUGAGACUCAGCGAAGUUGAAAUGUUUGUGAUGACGCAAUCUCCCCGCGGAAAGACGGAAAGACCCCAUGAACCUUUACUGUAGCUUUGUAUUGGACUUUGAACAGAUCUGUGUAGGAUAGGUGGGAGGCUUUGAAGCAGGGUCGCUAGAUCUUGUGGAGCCAACGUUGAAAUACCACCAUGGUGUGUUUGAGGUUCUAACCUAGGCCCGUAAUCCGGGUUGGGGACAGUGCAUGGUAGGCAGUUUGACUGGGGCGGUCUCCUCCCAAAGUGUAACGGAGGAGUUCGAAGGUACGCUAGUUACGGUCGGACAUCGUGACGAUAGUGCAAUGGCAUAAGCGUGCUUAACUGCGAGACUGACAAGUCGAGCAGAUGCGAAAGCAGGACAUAGUGAUCCGGAGGUUCUGUAUGGAAGGGCCAUCGCUCAACGGAUAAAAGGUACUCUGGGGAUAACAGGCUGAUACCGCCCAAGAGUUCAUAUCGACGGCGGUGUUUGGCACCUCGAUGUCGGCUCAUCUCAUCCUGGGGCUGUAGCCGGUCCCAAGGGUAUGGCUGUUCGCCAUUUAAAGAGGUACGUGAGCUGGGUUUAAAACGUCGUGAGACAGUUUGGUCCCUAUCUUCCGUGGGCGCUGCAGAUUUGAGGAAGCCUGCUCCUAGUACGAGAGGACCGGAGUGGACGCACCUCUGGUGUAUCGGUUGUCACGCCAGUGGCAUUGCCGAGUAGCUAUGUGCGGAAGAGAUAACCGCUGAAAGCAUCUAAGCGGGAAACUCGUUUCAAGAUGAGAUCUGCCGGGGCCUUGAGCCCCCUGAAGAGUCGUUCAAGACCAGGACGUUGAUAGGUCGGGUGUGGAAGCGCAGUAAUGCGUUAAGCUAACCGAUACUAAUUGCUCGUGCGGCUUGACCCU